UACGAAGGGUGCAAACGUUGCUCGGAAUUAUUGGGCGUAAAGCGCACGUAGGCGGCUUAGCAAGUCGGAAGUGAAAUCCCACGGCUCAACCAUGGAAGUGCUUUCGAAACUGCUUGAGCUUGAGUACGAAAGAGGAUCGCGGAAUUCCCGGUGUAGAGGUGAAAUUCGUAGAUAUCGGGAGGAACACCAGUGGCGAAGGCGGCGAUCUGGGUCGAUACUGACGCUGAGGUGCGAAAAGCGUGGGGAGCAAACAGG
rnacentral:rRNA from 1 species